AUGUAUAUAUAUAUAUAUAUAUAUAUAUAUAUAUGUAGGUUUAACUUUUUGUUUAUGUGUCUUUAUAUUUUUAUAUUUCUUAUAUUUCCGGAUAAAUGUUUUUUUUUUUUUUUUUAUUUCAAAAAAGUGAAAUCUAUGAAGUGUUAUUUUAUGCAAUUAUGGGUAUGUACACAUACAUAUACAUACAUACACACACAAAAAAAAAAAUAAAAAAAAAAUAUAAUUUGCAAAGGAGGGUUAUAUAUAAAAUGUAUUUGAACAGAUCAUAUAUUUUUUUUUUUUUUUAUGAAGAAUCCUUAAAAUAUAUAUAUUUGUAAUUUCUUACAAUAUAUAUACUAAGUCAAAUUUGAGGAAGACCAAAUAAAAAAAAAAAAAAAUAAAUAAACAAAAAUAAUAAGAAAGGAACGUUAGUAUAUAAAUAAAUAAAUACAUACAUACAUACAAUACUAUAUAAUAAUAAUUUACUGUGUAUAUAUAUAUAUAUAUAUCUUUUGUUUUAUUUUAUUAUACAUAUAUAUAUAUAUAUAUAUUUAUAUGUUUAUAAUUUUUUUUUUUUCCUAAAAUGUAAUUAGUGUUUUAUAUCCAUAUAUUAUAAAAAAAAAUUUCUAUGUUUAUAUAUAUUUGCUCAUUUUUUUUUUUUUUUUUUUAUAUAUAUAUAAUUUUUUUUUUUUUUAUUUUAUAUCUAUCCUUUUAAUAAAUGGAGUUGAUAUAUUAAUUCAUCGCUUUACAUUGAAAGUAGUAUAACUUAAAACUUAAAAGAAAAAAAAAAAAAAAAAAAGACCAAAGAAAAAGGAAAAUUAUGAAUAAAACAUUGUUUUCAAUUUAAUAUAAAUAAAUAAAUAAAUAUAUAUAUAUUAUAUAUUUGUGGUAUAAUUAUAUAAAAUAGAUAUUU
rnacentral:sRNA from 1 species